rnacentral:rRNA from 1 species
UCCGUAGGUGAACCUGCGGAGGGAUCAUUACACAAAUAUGAAGGCGGGCUGGAACCUCUCGGGGUUACAGCCUUGCUGAAUUAUUCACCCUUGUCUUUUGCGUWCUUCUUGUUUCCUUGGUGGGUUCGCCCACCACUAGGACAAACAUAAACCUUUUGUAAUUGCAAUCAGCGUCAGUAACAAAUUAAUAAUUACAACUUUCAACAACGGAUCUCUUGGUUCUGGCAUCGAUGAAGAACGCAGCGAAAUGCGAUAAGUAGUGUGAAUUGCAGAAUUCAGUGAAUCAUCGAAUCUUUGAACGCACAUUGCGCCCUUUGGUAUUCCAAAGGGCAUGCCUGUUCGAGCGUCAUUUGUACCCUCAAGCUUUGCUUGGUGUUGGGCGUCUUGUCUCUAGCUUUGCUGGAGACUCGCCUUAAAGUAAUUGGCAGCCGGCCUACUGGUUUCGGAGCGCAGCACAAGUCGCACUCUMWAGGUCAGCAAAGGUCUAGCAUCCAUUAAGCCUUUUUUUCAACUUUUGACCUCGGAUCAGGUAGGGAUACCCGCUGAACUUAAGCAUAUCAAUAAGCGGAGGAA